rnacentral:lncRNA from 1 species
AUUCAACCAAUAUGUCAUACAAGGUACCUCAAAUGCAUUCAUUCAAAUCUUACCUAAACAUGUAUACAUGCCACAUUUCAAUCUUGUAUAUCAAGUCCAAUACCUUUCUGAAACAUACUCUAUCUUGACCAUAUUGAAACAUGCAUCAAACCAUAUCUGCAUUAACACAUACUAAUUAGGCAUCAAAGGCACCAAGAUAACACAAAC